rnacentral:misc_RNA from 1 species
UUUCCGUAGGUGAACCUGCGGAAGGAUCAUUAAUGAAACAUGGACGUGGCCUCGGAGGGGGUUGUGCCGGCGCUGACUGCGCACGUGCACGCCUCUGCCUUGCCCGCUCAUCCAACUCGCACCUGUGCACCUUCUUGAUCUCGUCAGACUGGAUGGUCCCCUCUCGGGGGGCUGUCUCCUGGCGUAGACCACUUCACAUCAUCCUUUCAUGUCUUGUCGAAUGUAACAUGCGUAAAUGCAAUUGAAAAACAACUUUCAACAACGGAUCUCUUGGUUCUC